UUGGAGGGCAAGUCUGGUGCCAGCAGCCGCGGUAAUUCCAGCUCCAAUAGCGUAUAUUAAAGUUGUUGCAGUUAAAAAGCUCGUAGUUGAAUUUCGGAAUCAAUUUAUUGGUCGUGCUAUUGUACGUACUGGUAUUAUUGAUUCCUACCUUCUGACGAACCAUGAUGUCAUUAAUUUGGUGUCAUGGGGAAUCAGGACUGUUACUUUGAAAAAAUUAGAGUGUUUAAAGCAGGCUCACGCUUGAAUACAUUAGCAUGGAAUAACGAAAUAGGACGUUUGAUUCUAUUUUGUUGGUUUCUAGGAUCGACGUAAUGAUUAAUAGGGAUAGUUGGGGGCAUUAGUAUUCAAUUGUCAGAGGUGAAGUUCUUGGAUUUAUUGAAGACUAACUACUGCGAAAGCAUUUGCCAAGGAUGUUUUCAUUAAUCAAGAACGAAAGUUAGGGGAUCGAAGACGAUCAGAUACCGUCGUAGUCUUAACCAUAAACUAUGCCGACUAGGGAUCGGAUGAUGUUAAUUUUUUAAUGACUCAUUCGGCGCCUUACGGGAAAC
rnacentral:rRNA from 1 species